AGUACAGUAACAUUGUUACCCUCACUGUACAUGCUCUAUCCCAUUCAGAAGCUCCAUUCUCCAUCCUCAGUCUGCUCAGUAGUCUACUGGCAGUCUCUCCAUAUCUGCUAGUGUCCAUCGUGCUGGGGGUCAAAUGCUACAGAGCUCACGCUCUGACUAAAAAUGCAUUCUCAGAGGAGUGAGAGUCUAAAGGAAAAUACUGAAGAUGGAAGGACAUUGUUCUGUUUGCUUGAAGUCAUUUCACAUGUGAGAUUGAAUGUUUGAACUCUGCUAACUUACUGCCAGCUGACCACCAGUUUAUAUGAAGCAUCGUGCAGUAAUGUUUUCACUUUUAAGCACAUGUUACUAUUGUGUGUCAUUUAUUCCAAUGUUAGAAUAUUCUCAUUUAUUUUAAUGAUCUUUUACUUUGUUGGACUAGUUUACUUUUUUAUGUUCUAGUUAAAUAAAUAACAACCAUAUAAAUUGUCUUCAUUAUCAUUGCAAUGAUGUCAGAUGAGAUAUUCAGCAGCCAAAGAAACACUAAGUGUAUUUCAUAACAGACUUUAGAUUUUAAGUAAUCAACAACUAGACCACAGAUUAGUGUUUUACACAUUACUUCACACUGACUCUCCUCAGCUUUAAUGUGAAACUGGUAUAGUUCACUGGAUAGUGAAGUCUACCCCUGCUGUAAGAUGGAGAUAUUAGACAUCCAGUGAACAGGCAGGGCUUUACUUCCAUGUGUUGGAAGCAGGAAAAAUUAGCAAGUGUAAGGAUCUGAGAGACUUGAACAAGGACCAAACUGUGAUGACUAGACAGCUGGGUAGAGGGAACAUCUCCAAAAGGGGAAGUUCCAACACACCUCCUUCAGUCUUUACAUUUAUGGCAUUUAGCUGACACUUUUAUCCAAAGCAACUUACAACUAUGACUGAGUACAACUUGAGCAACUGAGGAUUACAGGCCAUCUUCAAGAGCCCCACAGUGGCAACCUCGCAGUGGUGGGGCUUGAACCAGCAGCUUUCUAACGUCCUUGAUUAUGUUAGCAAGUUCUGUGAGUGUUUACGCUCCUUAUGUGAUCUAGCACACAAAACCGUAAACCACUCCCAGUGCCGUACGAAAGCCAGGUAUGAUUUACGAGCUGUUCACUGAUCCUUUCAGGAAGAAGACAAAGUGUUAUCUUUAUUGCCUUUGCCAGGUUCUGCCCUUCACACCAGGUUUGCUGUUCCAUAUAUGGCUAAAUCACAAUUACGUGAUAUGGAUUAUGUGAUACACACACCCGAUCGUAAGAAAAAGUGUAUGUCACAUCAACAUGCUGAAAUGCUGUUUCAUGCUAUGCUUCCACAGAUGAUAAUGGUAGUAUUAGUGCACCUGUUCUACCCCUAGUUGUAGCCCCAUCCCUGCCCCUUUAUCUGAGUAUUUCCCUUAAGUUGAUGGUUUAAGCUUGAAAAUUGUU